UACAGAGGGUGCAAGCGUUGCUCGGAAUUAUUGGGCGUAAAGGGCAGGUAGGUGGUCUUAUUUGUCAUGGGUGAAAUCCCUGGGCUUAACCCAGGAAGUGCCCGUGAAACGGUGAGACUGGAGUACUAGAUAGGGUCGCGGAAUUCCCGGUGUAGCGGUGAAAUGCGUAGAGAUCGGGAGGAACACCAGAGGCGAAAGCGGCGGCCUGGCUAGUGACUGACACUCAACUGCGAAAGCGUGGGGAUCAAACAGG
rnacentral:rRNA from 1 species